rnacentral:rRNA from 1 species
UACGUAGGGUGCAGGCGUUAAUCGGAAUUACUGGGCGUAAAGCGUGCGCAGGCGGUUUGUUAAGACAGGUGUGAAAUCCCCGGGCUCAACCUGGGAACUGCGCUUGUAACUGGCAAGCUUGAGUGUGGCAGAGGGGGGUGGAAUUCCACGUGUAGCAGUGAAAUGCGUAGAGAUGUGGAGGAACACCGAUGGCGAAGGCAGCCCCCUGGGCUAACACUGACGCUCAUGCACGAAAGCGUGGGGAGCAAACAGG